rnacentral:rRNA from 1 species
CAUUCGCACAAACGAGAUCCACAGCACUCUGCAUCGUCUMCAGUGCGCUGUGCGCGCAAGGGCUGUCCAAUGGCCGCCCUUGCGCGCAACAGCGCAAGGGUAGCGAGGCGCAGGCGCGCGCAAGCCUCUGCUGGCUGCCCGACGUCCUGGCCUGCUGCCCUGGCUCCAUGCGACGCAUCGUGUCUCCUGGCAGUGAUGGCCGCCCGCCUGCGAGCAGCGUCCUUCUUUUUUUCGUUUCACAACUUACAGCGACAGAUGUCUUGGCUCGAACGACGAUGAAGGGUGCAGCGAAGUGCGAUAAGCAUUGUGACUUGCAGAAUUCCGUGAACCAACAGGAGUUUGAACGCAUACUGCGCUCUCGGGACAUCCCUGAGAGCAUGCCUGCUUCAGCGUCUACACAUUCUCAUUCCAGCGGCAACGCGGCCUCGGGUGCUCGCUUGCGGUUGUGAGGCUCUGGGCGUUGAAGCGCGUUUGCGCCUUCGACGCCCCGAAUCAGCAGCGUUGUGAUCGCAUGCCGCGCGCACUAGCUCACUCGCGGCGAUCGCGUGCCCCAACGCGCGCGGUGUGUGUCCUUCGCCACUCCUCGCCAUGGAGCGCCUGUGUCUACAGACAUGAAGUCAGGCCAGAAACACCCGCUGAAUUUAA